UACGAAGGGGGCUAGCGUUGUUCGGAAUCACUGGGCGUAAAGGGCGCGUAGGCGGCUUUAUAAGUCGGGGGGUGAAAGCCUGUGGCUCAACCACAGAAUUGCCUUCGAUACUGUAGAGCUUGAGACCGGAAGAGGUAAGUGGAACUGCGAGUGUAGAGGUGAAAUUCGUAGAUAUUCGCAAGAACACCAGUGGCGAAGGCGGCUUACUGGUCCUGACACUCAGGAGCGAAAAGCGUGGGGGAGCGAUCCGG
rnacentral:rRNA from 1 species